rnacentral:lncRNA from 1 species
AAGAAUUUCGUGCCCAUGUCGUGCACUAAGGUGUGCGCGGAUCAUUUCGACCCUUCAUGCAUCGAGAAGACGACAUCGUACACGGAUCCAAGGACAGGGAGGGUUAUCGAAGUCGCACUGCCACUACCGCGGUUGCGUCCUGGAUCUGUGCCAACAGUAUUUCCCGGCU